AAUGUCACUAUUGGGUGAAGGAAAGAUUGGCAAUUGUAGUUCUUCUAAUACAGUAGAUCUUCUAAUACAGUACGCGAUUAAAUUGAAACGUUUGUGUGGAAAUUUGAAAUGAACCAAGAAUGCUGUUGCAAUUACGGCGUGUUCUAAAGAUAUGCAUGUGUCAUUCAUAUUUAAUAUGAAAGUGCUGCAUACUAAUGUUUCAAAAUAAAGAAAUUAGAGAGCAACAGCUAACAGCUAUCGAGAUAAAUGGUACAUCAAAAUUCAGUAUGGAAGAUGACUACAAAUGGAAAAUAUCGGGAAACGAAUUUUAGAUUCACACGUUUGUUCUUCAUUAAUAUUCAGUCUAUCACCCACAAAUGUAAUAGAGUCAUUGGCAAACAUUGUAUGAGAGAUAAAAGUAGAAAAGAGAUUAAUUAAAUGCGAAGAUCGUUUUAAAAUCUGAAAAAAUUUCUUAUUAAAUUAAGAUUAAAUGGACCUGUAAAAUUAAAUCUAUAUAUAUAUU
rnacentral:lncRNA from 1 species